rnacentral:rRNA from 1 species
UAGUCCACGCCGUAAACGUUGGAUACUAGGUGUGGCGUCCCGAUUAACGGUCGCCGUGCCGAAGCUAACGCAUUAAGUAUCCCGCCUGGGGAGUACGGCCGCAAGGCUAAAACUCAAAGGAAUUGACGGGUCCCCGCACAAGCGGCGGAGCAUGCGGCUUAAUUCGAUGCAACCCGAAGAACCUUACCUGGGUUUGACAUCACGGGAAAAGCUGUAGAAAUACAGUGUCCAUUAGGGCCCGUGACAGGUGGUGCAUGGUUGUCGUCAGCUCGUGCCGUGAGGUGUUGGGUUAAGUCCCGCAACGAGCGCAACCCCUAUCUUUAGUUGCCAGCACGUAAUGGUGGGGACUCUAGAGAGACUGCCGGCGCAAGCCGCGAGGAAGGUGGGGAUGACGUCAAAUCAUCAUGGCCUUUAUGCCUAGGGCGACACACGUGCUACAAUGGUGCAUACAGAGGGUAGCGAAGCUGCGAAGUGGAGCCAAUCUCAGAAAGUGCAUCCCAGUUCGGAUUGG